rnacentral:rRNA from 1 species
AUUGAACGCUGGCGGCAUGCUUUACACAUGCAAGUCGAGCGGCAGCGCGGGGGCAACCCUGGCGGCGAGCGGCGAACGGGUGAGGAAUACAUCGGAACGUGCCCGAGAGUGGGGGAUAACGCCGCGAAAGCGGCGCUAAUACCGCAUAUUCUCUGAGGAGGAAAGUGGGGGACCGCAAGGCCUCACGCUCACGGAGCGGCCGAUGUCGGAUUAGCUAGUUGGUGGGGUAAAGGCUUACCAAGGCGACGAUCCGUAGCUGGUCUGAGAGGAUGAUCAGCCACACUGGGACUGAGACACGGCCCAGACUCCUACGGGAGGCAGCAGUGGGGAAUUUUGGACAAUGGGGGCAACCCUGAUCCAGCCAUGCCGCGUGCGGGAAGAAGGCC